rnacentral:rRNA from 1 species
AUACGGAGGAUGCGAGCGUUAUCCGGAUUUAUUGGGUUUAAAGGGAGCGUAGGUGGGAUAUUAAGUCAGCUGUGAAAGUUUGGGGCUCAACCUUAGAAUUGCAGUUGAUACUGGUUUCCUUGAGUACGGUACAGGUGGGCGGAAUUCGUGGUGUAGCGGUGAAAUGCUUAGAUAUCACGAAGAACUCCGAUCGCGAAGGCAGCUCACCGGGCCGGAACUGACACUGAUGCUCGAAAGUGCGGGUAUCAAACAGGAUUAGAUACCCUGGUAGUCCGCACAGUAAACGAUGAAUACUCGCUGUUUGCGAUACACGGUAAGCGGCCAAGCGAAAGCGUUAAGUAUUCCACCUGGGGAGUACGCCGGCAACGGUGAAACUCAAAUGAAUCGACGGGG